AUUGAACGCUGGCGGCAGGCCUAACACAUGCAAGUCGAGCGGAUGAAGGGAGCUUUCUCCUGGAUUCCGCGGCGGACGGGUGAGUAAUGCCUAGGAAUCUGCCUGGUAGUGGUGUAUAACGUCCUGAGACGGGCGCUAAUACCGCAUACGUCCUGAGCGAGAAAGUGGGGGAUCUUCGGACCUCACGCUAUCAGAUGAGCCUAGGUCGGAUUAGCUAGUUGGUGGGGUAAAGGGCUACCUAGGCGACGAUCCGUAACUGGUCUGAGAGGAUGAUCAGUCACACGGGAGCGGAGACGCGGUCAAGAGUACUACGGGAGGGAGCAGUGGGGAAUAUUGGACAAUGGGCGAAAGCCUGAUACAGCCAUGCCGCGUGUGUGAAGAAGGUGUUCGGAUCGUAAAGCACUUUAAGUGGGGAGGAAGGGCAGUAAGUUAAUACCUUGCUGUUUUGACGUUACCAACAGAAUAAGCACCGGCUAACUUCGUG
rnacentral:rRNA from 1 species